UAGUACAGUAGAAACACGAAAGAAAAAAUCACUGUUAUGACCUAUUACAGUACAUGAUCUGCACACGAGCUAGCUAGAUCUAAGAUACUAUGAUGACAGAUUGACAUUGGGUCAAGUACUAUCAUGGGAAACAAGCCGAUCACUUCCGCUGGUGACGGCACAAUGGGACCGACAGACAGGUCACCAGCUUCUUCACAUUCUACAUGAUCACAUAUGUGCUCAAGCCCCUCGGAUGAAUCCAAGCUGUGGCACGGUGACACAUAUAAGAAAGCUUGGUGACCUCCCUGUUAAGACCGAGAGCGAUGGAGAGGCAGGGUCCAGAAGUGUCAAAGAUGUUCUCCUGACACCCCUCAUUUCCAAGGCCACAACAUCCUUUGUUCUUAUUAUGAACAGAGAAACAGGGUCCUCCAUGACUUUGCCUCGGCUAAAUUUGGUCCCUCUCGUU
rnacentral:lncRNA from 1 species